AGAGUGGGCCGGACGGUAAGGCACCGGAUUGAUAAUCCGGCGUAGGGGGGUGACCUCCUUAACGGGUUCGACUCCCGUACUCUCCG
rnacentral:tRNA from 1 species